rnacentral:miRNA from 1 species
CUUCAUUAUCAUUUCAGAUUGUA